rnacentral:rRNA from 1 species
AUUGAACGCUGGCGGCAGGCCUAACACAUGCAAGUCGAGCGGAUGAAGGGAGCUUGCUCCUGGAUUCAGCGGCGGACGGGUGAGUAAUGCCUAGGAAUCUGCCUGGUAGUGGGGGAUAACGUCCGGAAACGGGCGCUAAUACCGCAUACGUCCUGAGGGAGAAAGUGGGGGAUCUUCGGACCUCACGCUAUCAGAUGAGCCUAGGUCGGAUUAGCUAGUUGGUGGGGUAAAGGCCUACCAAGGCGACGAUCCGUAACUGGUCUGAGAGGAUGAUCAGUCACACUGGAACUGAGACACGGUCCAGACUCCUACGGGAGGCAGCAGUGGGGAAUCUUGGACAAUGGGCGAAAGCCUGAUCCAGCCAUGCCGCGUGUGUGUAGAAGGUCUUCGGAUUGUAAAGCACUUUAAGUUGGGAGGAAGGGCAGUAAGUUAAUACCUUGCUGUUUUGACGUUACCAACAGAAUAAGCACCGGCUAACUUCGUG